UGCGCCCCCCAGGAGUCCAACCUUCCUUGUACCUUGGUCCCCGCGCCUCCUGCCAUUCGCUUGCACGAGCUCUUCCUCCGCUGCUUCAUCACGGGUUCAGUGGCGUCGUGUUCUUUUGCUUCCAUCACCGCGCGCAGUCUUCCGUUCCGCAAGUCGCUCUCCACUCCGGCGAAUUUUUCAGUUGCUACUUCCCCGGCUUGUUCGCCCGAACGCACUUCUGAUCCACGCAAGUAGUUUCUUCCCCGGCGGACGCCACCAUCGUAUAACAACUUCUUGUGCCUAGGCCAACAACCUGAUACAACGAACGACUGUUGGUUGCCGUCCACUGUCUUCCAUCGGCUUCCCAUUAUCGCACGCCAAUCUCUGUAAAGGUCUUUUUGCACAGCUACUUUUUAAUGAUAUAGAAUCCCAGCUUGAAUCAAUCGUCAAUCCUACCCUGUCACCUACCUUUCACAACCCUGCACACACUGUCCAAUCUGUUGAGAUCUCCAUUGACCCCCAGAGUGAAAGUAGCUUUGACAUCCCCUCCUCUGACCUAACGAUUCCGCUCAUUGACGCCACCUUCUCCUUGGCCUCCCAGUUGCUGCCCGAGGUUAUGCACAUGAAACUAAUCGUAAUCUUCAAAGCUUUCAUGGCAGCAACAAUUGCGUCAGCUCUUUGGCGGCGUUUGUUUGAUUUCUUGUGCGUCUACUGUAGUGCUCUCAAAAUGCCACAGGUACCCCACUUCAUAUUGUGCUUCCAGACCUACAGGCACCCUCGUAUUCCUCUACCCUUACUCCCGCUGCACGGCUGCAGUGGCUUUGCCUGACCUUUGCAAAAAAAUGUCAAGGCUUGUGUGACGCAAGGCACCCUUGUAUGGAUCAUUGUCUUCAUUGACUGCUUACCAGAGAGCAAGUCGCUAAUGAAAUCGAGAGCAUGCACAAAUGUCAUCCUUAAGAUGGCACCUCCCGUUUUACUUACCAUUGCCCAGGUCGUUGAAAUUACUAGCUUGCUACUGUAUCGCUACAUGAUUGUUGCGUGCGUUGCUGCUCGACUCCGCUUCUCCAAUCUCCGUCUUGCCAACACAAGCCAAGGCGAUCUUCAGGGAUGAACUGUGCUGGCCAUUUUGAGAAGUACACCCUCCAUCACCUGACGGAACCAUGUUCUUCAACCCGCGCCGGCACAGGCGACCUUUUGCCCCGUAUCGACUGGAGCCACCGUCUAUGUAAAGUUAAUCGUUCCCGUUUAGCCAAUGGCGAGACCAGAUCUAUGUUUUCUGCAAUAUACUUUUAGAACAUAUGCAACCAUGCGCGCUGCCUUCAAAUGAAUUGGUACUCCCGCUUAGUCUUCCAUUUGACAUCCUAUUCUUGAUGCUUUAUCGAACACUAAAGAUGACCCACCUUUCCUUAA